CCCCUCCUUCUCCUCCCCCGCCGGGCUGCGGUCCCGCCGGCGCGGACGGCUCCUCCCCGGCGGCCGGGCGGGAGGGAGCGGGCG
rnacentral:pre_miRNA from 1 species